CGAGCGCAACCCUUGUCAUUAGUUGCUACGAAAGGGCACUCUAAUGAGACUGCCGGUGACAAACCGGAGGAAGGUGGGGAUGACGUCAGGUCCUCAUGGCCCUUAUGGGUAGGGCUACACACGUCAUACAAUGGCCGGUACAGAGGGCUGCCAACCCGCGAGGGGGAGCCAAUCCCAGAGAACCGGUCGUAGUCCGGAUCGUAGUCUGCAACUCGACUGCGUGAAGUCGGAAUCGCUAAGUAAUCGCGGAUCAAGCUUGCCGCGGUGAAUACGUUCCCGGGUCUUGUACACACCGCCCGUCACACCAUGGGAGUUGGAUUCACUCGAAGGCGUUGAGCUAACCCGCAAGGGAGGCAGGCGACCACAGUGGGUUUAGCGACUGGGGUGAAGUCGUAACAAGGUAACCAAUC
rnacentral:rRNA from 1 species